rnacentral:rRNA from 1 species
AGCAGCCGCGGUAAUUCCAGCUCCAAUAGCGUAUAUUAAAGUUGUUGCAGUUAAAAAGCUCGUAGUUGAAUUUCGGGGUUAGUAGAUUGGUCAUGCCUCUGGUAUGCACUGGUCUUACUGAUUCCUCCUUCCUGAUGAACCGUAAUGCCAUUAAUUUGGUGUUGCGGGGAAACUGGACUGUUACUUUGAAAAAUUGAGUGUUUAAAGCAGGCUAACGCUUGAAUACAUUAGCAUGGAAUAAUGAAAUAGGACGUUCGAUCUUAUUUUGUUGGUUUCUAGGAUUGACGUAAUGAUUAAUAGGGAUAGUUGGGGGCAUUAGUAUUCAAUUGUCAGAGGUGAAAUUCUUGGAUUUAUUGAAGACUAACUACUGCGAAAGCAUUUGCCAAGGAUGUUUUCAUUAAUCAAGAACGAAAGUUAGGGGAUCGAAGACGAUCAGAUACCGUCGUAGUCUUAACCAUAAACUAUGCCGACUAGGGAUCGGAUGAUGUUAAUUUUUAAUGACUCAUUCGGCGCCUUAAC